rnacentral:rRNA from 1 species
AGUGAACGCUGGCGGUAGGCCUAACACAUGCAAGUCGAACGGCAGCACAGUAAGAGCUUGCUCUUACGGGUGGCGAGUGGCGGACGGGUGAGGAAUACAUCGGAAUCUACUUUUUCGUGGGGGAUAGCGUAGGGAAACUUACGCUAAUACCGCAUACGACCUACGGGUGAAAGCAGGGGAUCUUCGGACCUUGCGCGAUUGAAUGAGCCGACGUCGGAUUAGCUAGUUGGCGGGGUAAAGGCCCACCAAGGCGACGAUCCGUAGCUGGUCUGAGAGGAUGAUCAGCCACACUGGAACUGAGACACGGUCCAGACUCCUACGGGAGGCAGCAGUGGGGAAUAUUGGACAAUGGGCGCAAGCCUGAUCCAGCCAUACCGCGUGGGUGAAGAAGGCCUUCGGGUUGUAAAGCCCUUUUGUUGGGAAAGAAAAGCAGCAGGUUAAUACCCCGCUGUUCUGACGGUACCCAAAGAAUAAGCACCGGCUAACUUCGUG